rnacentral:misc_RNA from 1 species
AUGGCGAUGGAUCAGCUACUGGUGCUCCUUGUGAGCUUUGUGUACGUCGUUCACGCCUGCGGCCCUGACCCUAGACACGAUCAGUCGGUCUACUGUAACUCCCAGUAUGUUUUUACUGGAAUCUUGACCCAAUUUGACAAAUCAGCGGAGGAGUCCACGUAUCGGAUGUUUGUGACGUCAAACUUGAAGGGACAUAUAACAAGUUCACUGAGACAGAACGUCAAUGUUUACAGUUUUGGAUACAUGUAUUCAUGCGCACCACCCUCAGCAACUCUGAAUCAGGAAUAUCUGAUAUACGGCAGGUUUGUCUUGAACGUUUUGCAGCAAACGAAGAUCCGUGGACAAAUCAACCAAGGAUUAAGGCCCUACAUUCAGUGGACCAAACCAAGCGUCUCCGUAACUACGACUGCUACUGUAAGAUUGACUUAAAACUGCCAAG